GAUCAUGGCUCAGAGUGAACGCUGGCGGCAGGCCUAACACAUGCAAGUCGAACGGCAGCACAGUGGAGCUUGCUCCAUGGGUGGCGAGUGGCGGACGGGUGAGGAAUACAUCGGAAUCUGCCCAGUCGUGGGGGAUAACAUAGGGAAACUUGUGCUAAUACCGCAUACGACCUACGGGUGAAAGCGGGGGAUCGCAAGACCUCGCGCGAUUGGAUGAGCCGACGUCCGAUUAGCUAGUUGGCGGGGUAAUGGCCCACCAAGGCGACGAUCGGUAGCUGGUCUGAGAGGAUGAUCAGCCACACUGGAACUGAGACACGGUCCAGACUCCUACGGGAGGCAGCAGUGGGGAAUAUUGGACAAUGGGCGCAAGCCUGAUCCAGCCAUGCCGCGUGGGUGAAGAAGGCCUUCGGGUUGUAAAGCCCUUUUGUCCGGAAAGAAACGCCUCGGAUUAAUACUCUGGGGUAAUGACGGUACCGGAAGAAUAAGCACCGGCUAACUUCGUG
rnacentral:rRNA from 1 species